rnacentral:tRNA from 1 species
GCCUGGGUGGCUCAGCUGGUUAAGCGUCUGACUUUGGCUCAGGUCAUGAUCUCAUGGUUUGUGAGUUCGAGCCCACAUCGGGCU